GGAUGCGAUCAUACCAGCACUAAAGCACCGGAUCCCAUCAGAACUCCGAAGUUAAGCGUGCUUGGGCGAGAGUAGUACUAGGAUGGGUGACCUCCUGGGAAUUCCUAGUGUUGCAUUCC
rnacentral:rRNA from 2 species